rnacentral:misc_RNA from 1 species
CAUAUUGGAGAUAAAAUGAGAGAGUGUCGUUUAAGAUGGUUUGUCUUGUACAAUGUAGAGAAUCAAAUGCUCCAAUAGAAAGUAUAGUAAGUUAGUAGGGGAAAGAGUGAAAAGGGACAAGGGGAGGCGUAAGAUGACGUGAAGGGAAAUAAUAUUAAAGGAUUUACAAGUUCUAGAUAUUGAUACGGGCUUGAUGUCUAAUAAAGUUGAAUGGCGAAAAAUGAUUUAUAUAGCCGAAUCCAACUAGUUAGUUUGGGAUUAAGACUUAGUU